CUACAGAGGCUGCAGGUCCUGGAGGAUUGUCUCUGGUGAAACAAGAGAGGAAUGAAGGAGAGGACCCACGACACAGCAGAAGCAUCCCUACUGGUUGCGGAGGACCUAUCCACCAACGCUGCGACCCAGACCAGGACCCGAUGCAGCAUUACGGAGUCAGUAGACAUGGAGGAUGGGAAACCUGAUCUGCUGCUAGUCAAAGAGGUGACAAUAGAAGAUGGACCAGAGAGCAUUGAUCUGCUGAGUGGACUAAAGAUGGGGGAGCAAGGUGGUUGGCUGGAGGCAAACAGAAGAGACUGGGCAGCCAUCUUUGAUUCUUAGACCCAGACCAAUGCAGCCAAGUGCCCAGGGGACAACAUCACAGAGCAGGCCAGGAUCAGA